CCGCAUUCUUAAACCCUCUUGGUAGCCUUGCUCUAAGCUUCCAAGAUAUGAGUGAAUGCCACAGAAAAUUGCAGAUGAAUCCAAAAUGCUAGGUAUUUUCCUCUGACUUGGCAUUAUUUCAGAUCUGUGACAACU
rnacentral:snoRNA from 15 species